GUUAAGAUGGCAGAGCCUGGCUACUGCAAAAGACCUAAGCCCUUUGCACAGGGGUUCAAAUCCCCUCCUUAACA
rnacentral:tRNA from 1 species